GACGAACGCUGGCGGCGUGCUUAACACAUGCAAGUCAAGGGGGUUGGAGCAAUCCAGCAACCGGCGAACGGGUGCGUAACACGUGAGCGACCUGCCCAGUUGCGGGGGAUAGCCGGCCCAACGGCCGGGUAAUACCGCAUACGCGGAUCGGGGGGUAUCCCCUGAUGCGGAAACCUACGGGGCAAUUGGAGGGGCUCGCGGCCUAUCAGCUUGUUGGCGGGGUAAUGGCCCACCAAGGCGAUGACGGGUAGCUGGUCUGAGAGGAUGGCCAGCCACAUUGGGACUGAGAGACGGCCCAGACUCCUACGGGAGGCAGCAGUGGGGAAUCUUGCGCAAUGGCCGAAAAGGCUGACGCAGCGACGCCGCGUGGAGGAUGACGCC
rnacentral:rRNA from 1 species